rnacentral:rRNA from 1 species
AUGAAGUAUAUACGAGAGCUCAAUGACUGCAAGCCAAUUCAGGUGAAGCACACCCCAGCAACCCGACCUAGUGCGAGGAAGCCCAGAUGGAUAAGGCCUCCGGAGAACUUUGCAAAAAUCCGUGUUGAUGGGGCCGUCAAUAGAGCAAAUGAUGAAGGUUCUUACAGUGCAGUGUGUAGGGACGGAGAAGGCAACUUCUUGGGCGCGUCGGCCAUCAGAUGUGCCGGCCUCACUGAACCGGCUACGCUUGAAGCAUUAGCUUGCCGGGAAGCUCUUGCGCUUGCUCAAGAUCUCUCGUUAUCCCAUGUUAUAGUUGCUUCUGACUCCAAAGGGGUGGUGCAGGAUAUCAAGCUAGGCACUGGUGGGAUGUAUGCAACCAUUGUGAAGGAGAUUAGAGAGACAAUGGAGCUUUUCCAUCAAUGUUCCGUCGUCUUUGAAGGACGGGAAACCAAUCAAGAGGCACAUAGCCUUGCUAAGCAUGCUUUUGGUCUGGAUCCGGGGCGCCACAUGUGGCUUUUAAACCCCCCCAGAUUUGAAUUGUAUCCCUAUGAACAUUAUUCAAUAAAGUAA